ensembl:snRNA U6 U6 spliceosomal RNA
UUGUUUCGGCAGCAUGUAUACUGAAAUUGAAGGAUACAGGGAAGAUGAGCAUGGCCUCUACACAAGAAUGACAUGCAAAUUUAGGCAUUCCAUAUUUUU